AGAGUUUGAUCCUGGCUCAGAACGAACGCUGGCGGCACGCCUAACACAUGCAAGUCGAACGGAAUUUAAGUCUUCGGAUUUAAAUUUAGUGGCGGACGGGUGAGUAACGCGUGGGAACCUGCCUUGCAGUAAGGGAUAACGCCGGGAAACCGGUGCUAAUACCGUAUACGCCCUUCGGGGGGAAAGAUUUAUCGCUGUAAGAUGGGCCCGCGUAAGAUUAGGUAGUUGGUAGGGUAAUGGCCUACCAAGCCUAUGAUCUUUAGCUGGUUUGAGAGGAUGACCAGCCACACUGGGACUGAGACACGGACCAGACUCCUACGGGAGGCAGCAGUAAGGAAUAUUGGACAAUGGUCGCAAGACUGAUCCAGCCAUGCCGCGUGCAGGAUGACAGCCCUAUGGGUCGUAAACUGCUUUUGUGCGAGAAAAAACCCCUCUACGUGUAGAGGGCUGAUUGUAUCGUAAGAAUAAGGAUCGGCUAACUCCGUG
rnacentral:rRNA from 1 species